rnacentral:rRNA from 1 species
CGGGGGGGGCAAGCGUUGUUCGGAAUUACUGGGCGUAAAGGGUGCGUAGGCGGUCCGCUAAGUUGGAUGUGAAAACUCUGGGCUUAACCCAGAGCCUGCAUUCAAAACUGACGGGCUAGAGUUCUGGAGGGGGUAGCGGAAUUCCUGGUGUAGCGGUGAAAUGCGUAGAUAUCAGGAGGAACACCGGUGGCGAAGGCGGCUACCUGGACAGAAACUGACGCUGAGGCACGAAAGCUAGGGGAGCAAACAGGAUUAGAUACCCUGGUAGUCCUAGCCCUAAACGAUGGAUACUUGGUGUAGCUGGGAUUGAAUCCAGCUGUGCCGAAGCUAACGCAUUAAGUAUCCCGCCUGGGGAGUACGGUCGCAAGGCUG